rnacentral:tRNA from 2 species
GCGAAUGUAGCCAAGUGGAUCAAGGCAGUGGAUUGUGAAU